UAUUUUUAGGCUACUUUGAAAAUAUUGUUGUCUAAUACAAGAUUUGGAGUGUUGGAUUUCACGUUUUGGAUUUGGGAUAGUUUUUUGACUACUGAUUCAGUUUUAAAAGUAGAUUAAGGCGGAUAUGUUACACAGACCUGGCAACACUCUUACCUUGGCGGAAAUGAAAAUGAAACUAAGUUGUCCCAGUUUGUUCUGAGCGUGUGCCGAGUGCGCAUCUGUUUCAUCUCUGUCUUCGAGGUUUUGUUGGUAAUACAGGCUUUCGUGUGCAGAAGUAUUUACAAAAACAAUUAUCGUUGUUGUUAUUUUGUGCAAUUUAAAACAGGUGAGCCAUUCUUUCAGACACAUCUGUUUUACACACGGCUUUUACAACCUCAACCAGGAAGUGUGAGGUGCUGUAAGUGACUGUGUAUGAGUUUGUUUUUCAGUAAAAUGGCAGAGGUGAAUAUUUCUGUUGCUCAGGAUCAGUUCAGUUGUCCAAUCUGUCUGGAUCUACUCAAGGAUCCAGUAGCUCUUUCAUGUGGACACAGUUUCUGUAUGGUGUGUAUUAAUGGCUGCUGGGAUCAGGAGGAUCAGAAGGGAGUCUAUAGCUGUCCUCAGUGUAGACAAACCUUCACUCCAAGACCUGUUGUGAGUAAAAACACCAUGCUGGCUGAAUUAUUGGAGACAAUGAAGAAGACAAGACUCCAAGCUACACGUCCUGCUCAGUGUUCAGCUGGACCUGAAGAUGUGGAGUGUGAUUUCUGCACUGGGAGAAAAUCCAAAGCCAUCAAGUCCUGUCUGGUGUGUCUGGCCUCUUUCUGUGAAACUCACCUCCAGCCUCACUAUGAAUCUCCUGCCUUUAAGAAGCACAAGCUGGUCGAAGCCUCCAGACGACUCCAGGAGCAGAUCUGCUCUCAGCAUGACAAACUGCUGGAGGUUUACUGUCGCACUCACCAGCAGUGUAUCUGCAUGUUGUGUAUGUUAGAUAAACAUAAAGGACACGAUACAGUAUCAGCUGCAGCAGAAAGAGCUGAGAAACAGAAGCAGUUGUUGAAAAUACUGGAAAAAUCCAAGCAGAGAAUCCAGGAGAGAGAGAAGGAGCUUCAGGAGCUGAGGAAGCUUGUGGAGUCUCAUAUGCGCUCAGCACAAACAGCAGUGAAGGAAAGUGAGAGGAUCUUUACUGAGCUGAUCAAAUCCAUUGAGAGAAGAUGCUGUGAGGUGACAGCACUCAUCAGAGCUCAGGAGAAAGCUGCAGUGAGUCGAGCUGAAGAAGUCAUGAAGCAACUGGAGCAGGAGAUUGCAGAGCUGAAGAGGAGAGAUGUUGAGAUGGAGGAGCUUUCACACACAGAUCCCAUCCAUUUCCUCCGGAGUUUUCACUCUGUCUUGGACCCUCCUGGAUCUGCAGAUUUACCCACCAUCAUAUUCAGUUCUCCAUCUUUUGAGGAUUUAGUAAAACUUGUGUCUCAACUGAGAGAGAGACUAGAACAAUGUGGUAAAGAAGAGUUUGGGAAAAUAUUAUGUAAAGGCAUAGUAAAUGACUGGUGAGACAAAGAGUGAAUGGUACUCACCAUAGAAGAGCGGAGGGAGUCGCUCCUGCUCUCUGAGGGGAUGGGCAUGGCCGAGGAUGGAGCAUGGAGUGGGCAUUGCCGGACGAAGUGGCCCAAUUGUCCACAGUAGAAACACCGUCGCUCUCUGUGGCGUUUCGCCUGUUUGUCUUCACUGAGGUAAGUCCAAGCUUCAUGGGUUCAGAGAGGCUGCUUAGCCCUACUGGGAGCUCAUUUCUACAUGGGAGCGGCUGGCUUAAGAGCACGUGGUCCAGGUAAAUGGCUAGGUCAAUGGAAGAAUUGAGAGUCAGCUUCUCAUCUCUGCAGGCCAUUUCGGUGAGGCUGUUGGCAUUCAAAUCCCGCUGGAAUGCAGCUUUCAGGGUCAGCCGCAAGAGUGUGGAACUCGAGGGCAUACUUGGCCACAUGCCUGAUGCCUUGGGUCAAGGUGAGCAGCUGUUUCCUCAUUUUCUUUCCCUCCAGUGCAUGGUCGAAGAUACGCUGGAAAAGCUCUAUGAACUGGUAAUAGGAAGUCACCUGAUCGCCUCCUUGAUACCACACUGCUGUAUCCCAAACUAGCACUUUGCCUUUUGGUAGGCCAAGAAAGGCAGCUACCUUCUGCUGCUUUGUCAGCCCCUCUUUUCUGGCGAAAUAGCGGGAGCACUGUAGAAGGAAGCCUUUGCAGAGGGCAGUCUCUACUGCAUACUUGUCCAGCUUAGGGAUUUUGUUGGUGCUCGCCUACCAGUUGACCCUGAGCUGCUACUACCGGUCGGCAGGCUUGUUCUCCUGCUGCAUCCACGUUGGAGGCAAAGUAUUCUGUCACCACUUGGUAAGUGGAUGUACUAUAGAUGCAAAUGCAAAACUAUUUAUAAAAAACAGGCAAACAAAUCCAAGACCGUAAUCCAAAAACAAUACACAACAAACAGCUUGGUAAAUCAGGUACAAACACACUGAGUGUUACUUCACAAUGAGAAUGUGAAACUGUGAGAUGUGAUUGUUCUCAAGUGUGGGUGAUUAGUAAUCAGGAGAAUGUGAACAUGAGAGAAUCCCUUGUUGGGAAGUGUAGUCCAUGGCGGCCAUAUUCGUAUGCCACGGUGUGUUCUGUUUGCCUGACAACUAGUCAGCUAGAUUAAUCUUGUAGCUCCAGUGAAAAGAAUGAAACACUGAACAUAAAACAUCUCCAAACUUUUCAACUACUUUUGGGGCAAAUUUUAGUUUAAAAUUUUUAUGUUAAAGUAAAAAAAAAAGGUUCACAGCAUUGGCCAUGUGUAAGUGUACAUGUAACUGUGUUUAAUUGUAUUCUUGUAGUGAAGGAUGUCCAGAUCUUUACACCCCAAGGCAGGGAAGAGUUUCUACAAUAUUCCUGUCAGUUCACACUGGAUCCCAGCACUGCAAAUAAACACCUCUGUCUGUCUGAGGAGAACACGAUGGUGACCUGCAGUACAGUGGCUCAGUCG